AGAACGAACGCUGGCGGCGUGGAUAAGACAUGCAAGUCGAACGCGACUUAUUUUGUUAGCAAUAACAGAGUAAGUUGAGUGGCGAAAGGGUGCGUAACACGUGGGAAUUUACCAAGAAGUGGGGAAUAGCUCGACGAAAGUCGAAUUAAUACCGCAUGUGAUCGAAAGAUCAAAGUCGGGGACCGCAAGGCCUGACGCUUUUUGAGAAGCCCGCGGCCCAUCAGCUAGUUGGUGAGGUAAUGGCUCACCAAGGCUAUGACGGGUAGCUGGUCUGAGAGGACGACCAGCCACACUGGAACUGAGACACGGUCCAGACACCUACGGGUGGCAGCAGUCGAGAAUUUUUCACAAU
rnacentral:rRNA from 1 species